AAGCCAUGAUAUGGGCAUUUAUGUAACAUGAGUUUACAGCGCUCCCAUGCCUCAUAUAGUAAUUCCCCAUCCAAUUGUCAAAAAAUUGUAAUAUCUAUACGAAGCUU
rfam:Gossypium hirsutum cultivar TM-1 chromosome 4, whole genome shotgun sequence